rnacentral:rRNA from 1 species
GGAAGGAUCAUUAUUGAUUGCGAAUCGUUGCCUUCUGUGCUGGCCAGCUCUGGCAAGUGCACGUCGGUGACUUUCAUCCAAUACCCUGUGAACCUUUGGCCUCUGCUAGCUUUGGCCGGCAGGGGAAUUUACACACACUCGAAUGUAAUGAAAUUUAUUGUCGUGCGCAAGCACUAAUGUACAACUUUCAACAACGGAUCUCUUGGCUCUCGCAUCGAUGAAGAACGCAGCGAAAUGCGAUAAGUAAUGUGAAUUGCAGAAUUCAGUGAAUCAUCGAAUCUUUGAACGCACCUUGCACCCUUUGGCAUUCCGAAGGGUAUGCUCGUUUGAGUGUCAUUGUACUCUCACACUCCCGGUCUUUGGAUUGGGAGGUGGACUUGGGUGUUGCUGCUUACCGUGGCUCACCUCAAAUGGAUUCGUGCAACUCUUGGUUGGACAUAGUACGGCGUAAUAAGUGUUUCGCCGGCACCUCACUAGAGGGUGGCUGAUCGGGAGCUCUGUGCUUCAAACCGUCUUCGGACAAUGACUGACAACUUGACCUCAAAUCGAGUAGGACCACCCGCUGAACUUAAGCAUAUCAAUAAGCGGAGGAAAAGAAACUAACAAGGAUUCCCCUAGUAACGGCGAGUGAAGAGGGAAGAGCUCAAAUUUUGAAUCUGGCGUCUUUGGCGUCCGAAUUGUAAUCUAGAGAAGUGUUUUCCGUGACGGACCGUGCAUAAGUCUCCUGGAAUGGAGUGUCAUAGAGGGUGAGAAUCCCGUAUAUGGCACGGACUCCCGUUGCUCUGUGAUACACUCUCGACGAGUCGAGUUGUUUGGGAAUGCAGCUCUAAAUGGGUGGUAAAUGCCAUCUAAAGCUAAAUAUUGGCGAGAGACCGAUAGCGAACAAGUACCGUGA